GACUCCCCAAGAUAGCCUCAAUCAUGCUUUGUUCAUUUUAAAUUUUUUAAAUUGUGACACAGAAGGUCACACUGCUGCUGAGAGGCAAAUGUCUCCCUCAAUAACAGGCCCUUUAGGCAGAGUUUUGUGGAAAGAUUUACAGACCGGUCAAUGGAAAGGCCCAGACCCAGUGCUUAUGUGGGGCAGAGAUCAUGCUUGUAUCUUUCCAGAAAGUGCUUUUCGUCCUAUUUGGGUGCCUGAACGCGCAAUCAGACAUGGAAGAGAUAGAACCCAGAUUCAAGCGACUGAAGAUCGACCCGGAGGAGCCCCUAUCCAAAAGGAAGAGAUAUCGGAAAAAAGAUGAAGAAAGACCAGAUUGACCCAGCUGAAAAGCUGAUUUCAUGGGAAGUCGUGAAGAAGCUAACAACACAGGCUUCCCGAAUACUUCGACUCCUAGGAAAGAACAGGACCCCAGUGAUGAUGGUAGCAACAGUAAUUGCCCUGCUGGGCUGUCAGGUAAAGGGGGAUCAAAUAGACACUUACUGGACAUAUUUCCCAGAUCCACCCCUGGUACACCCAGCUGUGUGGACUGGAGAAUCUAUUCCAGUAUUUACUAAUGACUCAUUCAUGAUGGGAGGAUUUACAGAUACUCAUAUUACUCCCAAUCAUGUGACUAGAUUUAAUUAUUCUGGCUACAGUGCCCAAUUACCUUUGUGUUGGUCCCACGAUAAACAUGCUGGCUAUCUGAAAGUAUCAUUAGAGGAAAAGACAGUGAUUGGUAGACCUAGACUGACAAAUAAUUCUAUUUAUGGAGACUUAAAACCUUAUACUAGAUCAGUAAUUAAGAUGGGACUUUCCCAUAACAAGCCAGUCAUUUCUGCAAAACCUCCACGGAUACCCCACUGUCCAAAUAGUUCUACAAUUGAGAUUGGCACCUUUCCUAGAUGGAUGGAUUGUGUAAAUACCUUUCCUGUACAACAUAAGGUGUCUAAAGAUAGUGGGUAUAUUUUAGACUGGUCUCCAAAAAUUGAUAAGAGACAAUUACGAAGAAAUUCUGCUAUGACACCUGCAGGAUUUGUUAGUAAUAUUUUGACUUAUAGUAAAGGAGGUGUUCAGAAAGAUAUUU
rnacentral:lncRNA from 1 species